AGAGAAUCCUCCCAUUUUUGAAGUGUUGGUGGUAGAACAGGACGCGUGGCGCACAAGAUGGGAGCCGUACAAUAUUAUCAGUACUACUCAAUGUCCUAUAAAGGAAGCGCGAAGUAAUACAUGUUAAGUAGCCAUUUCUGGUUUUUCGGAUUGUUGUAUUAUUAUUGUAAUAUACACGAUGAAGCGACAUACCAGCAAAUCUCCGGUUUACGCAUUCACGUUUAUUUUGUUAGCGGGCAUUUUUGGAAUAAAUCAGUUUUUAUGGUGUGACGCGAUAUUCUGAGGAAAUGGCACUGGUCCAUUUGGUGUGGGUUUAUCUUUUGUUAAUGGGACUUCCUUCAGUGAUGAGUGAUUGCGAUGCUUGCGUUAGAGAAUAUCGCCACAUGUGCGUGGAAACAUCGUGCUAUCGAUACAGGAGUAGCAGACCUUUCGAUAUUCGUUUUGUGUAUCGAUGCUUAACAAUAUGCUCAAAUAAGAGACGAUCAUGUCGCCAAAUUUGUCCUGCCGGAAGACUUUAAUCGAUUGCUUGUGAGCAGAAAGUGACUGCGUGAAUUUCAAUUGGCGAUCGAUUAAAAUUGAAGUGACAAAUAAACAAAUUCAGAUCUUGAAAAUUCCACAAAAUGAACCUUGGAUUAUUUGACGUUGAUCUCAUUCCAUGUUGCACAUAUUCACAGGAUUACCCCAUCACCCACGUGACGGCCACGUGACGGGCUUUUGUAUUCGUUUGACUCUCAUUUUCCCUGUGACAGAAACCUCCUCCAUCACUUGAUUUACCCUCAUUUUCCAUGUGACUGAGACACUCUUCUUCAGUUUGCAGUAAAACCGGACACGUUAGUUAUAGUGUUAUGACACUGACAGUGCUCCCGGAUAUUCAUUUCUAUUUAUUGAACUGCCAAUGUUUCAUUUUAUCACUGCCAUAUAUUUUAAUUUAAACGUGUGCAGCAUUUAUGCGUAAACGUUAAUUAAAUAUUUUAAAACUAU